rnacentral:lncRNA from 13 species
AGACAAACAGAUGCAGACACACAAACACACACACAGAUACACAGAAAUAAAGACCCCCGCAUUACAAAAGUUGUCAAACUGGUUUCCCUGUUGUCUGUGCAAACAUUGCCACACCCUCUAAAAUGUACACAUGCCCCCAAAUUUACCCAGGCCAGAUGAGAAGAGAGUGCCUGAAAACAUCCCACGGGGGAGGGGUGAGGGGAGGUGUACAGGAAGGAUGAGAGCUGUUUGGCUCACACCGACGUGCUGUGCUGCUGGAGGCUCUUGUGUGCACAGUCAUGGAUGGUGUGUUGGAGGGAGCAGCUGUGGUGUGUGUGUGUAAACUGGCCUGCAGUCUUCUCUUCCUGCCCAUGGUCACUGCUUCUCUCAGUGCAGUCAGCUUCUGCUGCAACUGCCUGCUGCUCUUCACAGACCUCGUAGUCACAACCUUCCUGGUUGUACUCUGGUUUACAGAGCCCUGGCUACCUCAAUUUUCCAUGUCCGCUGAUGUCAUCGCCCUGCGCUUCCUGCUCUUCCUCAGCUACAUCUACUGGGCAGUGCUGCUGAUGACCACACCUCUGGUUGCUGUGGAGACGGCCAUGAGGUUGCAGUGGCCACAAGUGUGUGGUGGCGGAGCAGUGGACGGAGACGUUGACAAACAGAGUAAAAAUCCUGCACCUCACGGCGGUGUGACACUGGAGGUAGAGAACGGGCAGAGCUGGGACACAGACACCCAGAGAGGAGGGAGAGAGGACCAGGACCAGGGAAGUUGUCUGUCCCACAUCAUUGGCUUCUUCUGCUGUCUGCUGGUGUGGGCUGUCUGUGGCAUCUGUGGGGGUCAGGGCUGGAGACUGGAGGUGCUGUGGGUGGAGGUCUGCCUGGAGAGGACCAGCUCCCUCACUCUGUGUCUCCCUAGCCUCCCCAACACCGUCCUGCUUGCUCUGGGUGAGCCCAGCUGGGGCCUGGCCACUGUGACCUUGGCUCUCCUGCUGGUGCUGACGGUGGGCUGGGGCUUUCUCAGAAGACACCUGGCCCACACAGAGACGGACCCACACACACCCACAACCACACAGACACACAAGGAGGAACAUGGUACUGACAUUCAACUGCCCGUUCAAACACUUCCUGCACCACGCAAGGCUAUGAAACCUGUGAUGUCAGUGGCGUCAGCCCCACGGUUUGUUGACACAGAGACAACAUGGUCCAGAUGCUCCGUUCACAGCCCAUGUUCUGGGAACAACAUGCAGCUGUCACUGGGUCACCAUGUCCUCUUAUCCCUGGAUGUUUUGUCAGCAGACAGACUAGAGGGACACAAAGAGAAAAAAGGACUAGGAUACAUACCUCUCACUGGUAUUGUGGAGGAACACACAGACAGGAGCCAGCAUGGGCUCGGGCGAUUUCCCUGCCUGGCGGUGAAUAUAAUGACAGGGUUAAUGUGUCUGCUCACUGUCUGUGUGUUACCUCUAAACCUCAGUGUGAACAUCCUAUUAAUCAGGCACACAGAGACAAUGCUGCAGUGGAGUUUGAAUAUCUUAAUGUAGUUGAUAAUGUAAAUUCAAUCAUUAAGGAGGUCUGAAAGGCUUGCUCACUUUAUCUUCAUCCACUAAGCAUAAUAUAUCAUAUUGUUUCUUCUCUAUGGGAUAGUUGGUAGCUAUUUUCAAACAAUUUUCUCCCAGCAGGAGGGUCUCGAUGCCAGUUGCCCCC